GAUGAACGCUGGCGGCGUGCUUAACACAUGCAAGUCGAACGGAAAGGCUCCUGCUUGCAGGGGUACUCGAGUGGCGAACGGGUGAGUAACACGUGGGUGAUCUGCCCUGCACUUCGGGAUAAGCCUGGGAAACUGGGUCUAAUACCGGAUAGGACGAUGGUUUGGAUGCCAUUGUGGAAAGUUUUUCGGUGUGGGAUGAGCUCGCGGCCUAUCAGCUUGUUGGUGGGGUAAUGGCCUACCAAGGCGUCGACGGGUAGCCGGCCUGAGAGGGUGUACGGCCACAUGGGGACGGGGAUACGCCCCAGCCCCCAAGGGGGGGCAACGGGGGGGAAUUUGGCACAAGGGGCGCAAGCCGAAUGCAGCGCCGCCGGGGGGGGGAGGACGGCCUUCGGGUUGAAAACCCCUUUCGCUGGGGACGAAGCGAAAGGGACGGUACCGGGAGAAGAAGCCCCGGUAAACUACGU
rnacentral:rRNA from 1 species